UGCUACUGGACCUAGCGGCGGACGGGUGAGUAAUGCUUAGGAAUCUGCCUAUUAGUGGGGGACAACAUCUCGAAAGGGAUGCUAAUACCGCAUACGUCCUACGGGAGAAAGCAGGGGAUCUUCGGACCUUGCGCUAAUAGAUGAGCCUAAGUCGGAUUAGCUAGUUGGUGGGGUAAAGGCCUACCAAGGCGACGAUCUGUAGCGGGUCUGAG
rnacentral:rRNA from 1 species